GCUCAGGAUGAACGCUAGCGGCAGGCUUAACACAUGCAAGUCGAGGGGUAUAUGUCUUCGGAUAUAGAGACCGGCGCACGGGUGCGUAACGCGUAUGCAAUCUACCUUUUACAGAGGGAUAGCCCAGAGAAAUUUGGAUUAAUACCUCAUAGCAUUAUGAAGUGGCAUCACUUUAUAAUUAAAGUCACAAACGAGAAGAAUGAGCAUUACUCGUAGGAGCUUGACGGUAAGGUAACGGCAAGGCAAGGCAACGUCC
rnacentral:rRNA from 1 species